GAGGGUGUAGCUCAGUGGUAGAGCAUGUGCUUAGCGUGCACGAGGUUCUGGGUUCACUCCCCAGCGCCUCCA
rnacentral:tRNA from 1 species